GCCUCGGUGAUGUAGAAGUGGUAGCACGCGGCCCCCGUAAGGGUGAAGCGCGGGUUCAACUCCCGUCUGAUGUC